GCUGCCUACAAUUCGUUAACCUUCAAUUCGCAGACCUGAGUCUGGAGGCCCGAGCCGCCGUUGCAGAAUAUUACUAUUACUCUCCUCCUCUUGGUGAUCGCCCUGCUUCAUAUGACCUUCUGAAUUCAGGGAACUUCUGGAUUCGGGGCCUGCAUAUGGACAGGGUGGUUACCAAUGGGAUGACGGUGAUAUUUAAUUCAUGAUGUUGGCAAACUCGUCGGAAAAUCGACGCCGGCGCUGGAAAACUCACCGGGGACAGAGCUCUGAAGUGGCCGCCAUACCACUCCUCUCGCUGACAUUUCACGAAGAAGAUAAGGAACACGAAAAUUAUGCUAAAGUUCAGUGCUUUUUGUUGUUUUACUUUGUUUUUGUGUUCUAGGGUUUCAGGGUUUGGUUGCUGCCUGCUGGUGACAGGGUUCGAAAGCUCGAGAAUUUUGACCUUUAGCGAGGACUUGUUCUUUCUGUAUGAAUCAACUCUCAAUUCUAUGAAAUUUCAAUUUCGACUUCAAUGCCUGUUUUGAAAUUUAUUUCAUGAUGUUCGAGUUGCGAUCUCAAAUAUCGCCUUUGUGCUUGAAUUUAUGAUGCAAAUCUUAAAUUUUGUAACUCGUCUAAAUUUGGAGUAUGUGAGAUUAGAUAUAUUCUGAGAUCGUGUUUUUCCUUCUUUGAAAACUGUCCCCGAAAGCCGUCAUCUCCUAGCUCAGUCUACUGGUUAUUAUUUCAGGGCUGCCCUUCGGUCGAGUGUUUGCCACUAACUUCACUUAUCAUGGCCUUUCAAUUGAAAUGGCACUAGAUAUGUUUUGACAUGCUCGUUCUGCGCAUUUGAUAUGUUUUGACAUGCUCGUUCUGUGCAAGUCUUUCAUCUCUGAGAGAGAGUAGUAGUGUUGCAGCAGCAAAAUGAAAAUGGGACAGGAUAUGUUGUUGGAAAUCCUAUCAAAUCUGCCUCCCAAAACUCUGAUGCGAUUCAAAUGCGUCUCUAAAUGGUGGUAUGCUUGCAUCACCAAUCCGAGUUUCGCAUUGAAGCACCUCUCCAACUCCGCCAACAACAGCCUCACCACUCGCGACCUCCUUUUCAAGAGAUUAGUAGUGCAGCGGCAGCAUGAGGAGGAGGAAACUGAACAAGUAUUCCUGUUGCUGAAGUUAUGCAAAGACGAUGAUAAUAUCAAUGACGAGGAUAGCAAUUAGCUACUCUCUUGUUGGUGUCCGAUGAGCCAUGCCUUCCAAUGUGGCCCACAUUAGGUUUGGACCCGCAGGAGGAUUACAAUUGGCCAGAACAUAUUGAUACUGAUUUUCAUCCUGGAUUUGGCUAUGAUCCCAAAUCUAACGAGUACAAAUUUGUGGCCUUUACUACUUAUACUCAAGAGCUAGAUGACAUUAUGACACUUACUACUCCACACAAAACGGGAGUAUCACCAUCAGUUGUGAUUCUUGGGAAGAGCUCGACACCGUUCUUUAGAAGCUGAAACUACUUUGUUUUGGACAGGUUCCUGAUGUGCUUCAGGGUAUGUGUUUUUGGAUGGGAAUUCAGCAAGAUAAGGAAAUAUCUGUUUAUGACACUUUUGAUGACCCUGAAGGCGGGCGAGGUAUUUCGUAGUAUACCCGAACCAUCUGAGCUCCAACGAUUACCCCUGGGGUGUGACCUUGAUUUGAAGCUUAUUGUGUAGAAUGAAUCAGUUUCUUAUGGUUCACAAUGAUGGACGUGUAGUUUGCUUUAAUCUUUGUACUAAAAAGCUUAUGUAUAUUCCCAUUGAAACACGAGGUGAGUUUGUUGGUUAUGUGAAUAGCAUAGUUUCGGUCAAGGGACGCAACCACAGGCCUGAGAGCAUGGAGAAUAAUUGCUCAGACAAAGAUGGAGAUGCGAUGGUGGCGGUAGACGGGAAGAGGGAAAGCUGCAGGAGGCAGUACACGUAUUCCGUUUAGGCCAUCCAACCGGCUGAUGUUUCCCAUAGAAUCAAGAGGGUGAUGGAGGGCCUCCGGGCAGAGUUUGAUGCGUUUCCCUGUAAACAGUUCUAUGCCAUAUUUAAGCCUCCUCUACGGGAAGUCGACGGAAGAAGAAGAAGAAGAGGAAAAAAGCUCGAGAACUGGUUAAUGCUCUGGAUGAGGGCAUUACUAGCUUGACCUUCCGCGUAACUCGCUUUGCAUUGUAUGAAAUCGACUACGAUGACAAAUCUCUGAAUUCUUGGACGAAGAUUGAUGAAAUCGACCAUUAGACAAGUUCUCUGAAUUCAUAUAAUUGCAAGCAAGUUAGCAACUCUGAGGUCGAACAAAGUUAUAAUAUAUCAAUCAUUUGCAAACGUGGAGUAAUAUAUCAAUAUCAAAGGAUCCAGGGAACGAAAAGGGAGUUAUUGAUAGUAUAUCCAAUGAACCAAUGAAGAGUUCUCUAGGCCGCAAUCAUUUUUUUCAUCUGAAUAUGUAGAUAAUAUCGUUUGUUUAAAAAAAUGAUUCAACAUUAAUUAAGGGUGAAGCUAAAGAGAUC